rnacentral:rRNA from 1 species
UACGUAGGGGGCGAGCGUUGUCCGGAGUUACUGGGCGUAAAGCGCUUGUAGGCGGUCCACCAAGUUUGGGGUGACAGUUGCCGACUUAAUCGGCAAAGUGCCUCAAAGACUGGCGGACUUGAGGGCCACAGAGGGACAUGGAACUCCAGGUGUAGUGGUGAAAUGCGUAGAUAUCUGCAGGAACACCCGUGGCGAAGGCGGCUCGCUGGACCGCAACUGACGCUGAGGAACGAAAGCUAGGGGAGCAAACAGG